AUACGGAGGAUCCGAGCGUUACCCGGAUUUAUUGGGUUUAAAGGGUGCGCAGGCGGGAGAUUAAGUCGGCGGUGAAAUUUUGGAGCUCAACUGUAAAAGGGCCUUCGAAACUGGUUUACUUGAGUGUAGGUGAGGUAGGCGGAAUUUGAUGGGUAGCGGUGGAAUGCAUAGAUAUCACGAGGAACUCCGAUUGCGCAGGCGGCUUACUAAACUACUACUGACGCUCAGGCACGAAGGCGUGGGGAUCAAACAGGAUUAGAUACCCUGGUAGUCCACGCAGUAAACGAUGAUUACUAGCUGUUUGCGAUACAAUGUAAGCGGCUGAGCGAAAGCGUUAAGUAAUCCGCCUGGGGAGUACGUUCGCAAGAAUGAAACUCAAAGGAAUUGACGGGG
rnacentral:rRNA from 1 species